rnacentral:rRNA from 1 species
AUUGAACGCUGGCGGCAGGCCUAACACAUGCAAGUCGAGCGAGCGGCGGACGGGUGAGUAAUGUAUGGGGAACUGCCUGAUGGGGGGGGAUAACUACUGGAAACGGUAGCUAAUACCGCAUACCAUCAGCUGAACCCAUAUGGGAUUAGCGUGUAGGUGAGGUAAGGGCUUACCUAGGCGACGAUCCCUAGAUGGUCUGAGAGGAUGAUCAGCCACACUGGGACUGAGACACGGCCCAGACUCCUACGGGAGGCAGCAGUGGGGAAUAUUGCACAAUGGGCGCAAGCCUGAUGCAGCCAUGCCGCGUGUAUGAAGAAGGCCUUCGGGUUGUAAAGUACUUUUAGUCGGGAGGCGUUACUGACAGAAGAAGCACCGGCUAACUCCGUGCCAGCAGCCGCGGUAAUUC